rnacentral:rRNA from 1 species
UGCCAGCCGCCGCGGUAAUACAGAGGGUGCGAGCGUUAAUCGGACUUACUGGGCGUAAAGGGCGCGUAGGUGGACAAUUAAGUCGGAUGUGAAAUCCCAGGGCACAACUCUGGAAUUGCAUUUGAUACUGGUUGUCUAGAGUACAGUAGAGGGAAGAGGAAUUUCCGGUGUAGCGGUGAAAUGCGUAGAUAUCGGAAGGAACACCAGUGGCGAAGGCGGUUUUCUGGACCGAUACUGACGCUGAGACGCGAAAGCGUGGGGAGCAAACAGGAUUAGAUA